rnacentral:rRNA from 1 species
GACGAACGCUGGCGGCGUGCUUAACACAUGCAAGUCGAACGGAAAGGCCCUGCUUUUGUGGGGUGCUCGAGUGGCGAACGGGUGAGUAACACGUGAGUAACCUGCCCUUGACUUUGGGAUAACUUCAGGAAACUGGGGCUAAUACCGGAUAGGAGCUCCUGCUGCAUGGUGGGGGUUGGAAAGUUUCGGCGGUUGGGGAUGGACUCGCGGCUUAUCAGCUUGUUGGUGGGGUAGUGGCUUACCAAGGCUUUGACGGGUAGCCGGCCUGAGAGGGUGACCGGCCACAUUGGGACUGAGAUACGGCCCAGACUCCUACGGGAGGCAGCAGUGGGGAAUAUUGCACAAUGGGCAGAAGCCUGAUGCAGCAACGCCGCGUGCGGGAUGACGGCCUUCGGGUUGUAAACCGCUUUCGCCUGUGACGAAGCGUGAGUGACGGUAAUGGGUAAAGAAGCACCGGCUAACUACGUGCCAGCAGCCGCGGUGAUACGUAGGGUGCGAGCGUUGUCCGGAUUUAUUGGGCGUAAAGGGCUCGUAGGUGGUUGAUCGCGUCGGAAGUGUAAUCUUGGGGCUUAACCCUGAGCGUGCUUUCGAUACGGGUUGACUUGAGGAAGGUAGGGGAGAAUGGAAUUCCUGGUGGAGCGGUGGAAUGCGCAGGUAUCAGGAGGAACACCAGUGGCGAAGGCGGUUCUCUGGGCCUUUCCUGACGCUGAGGAGCGAAAGCGUGGGGAGCGAACAGGCUUAGAUACCCUGGUAGUCCACGCUGUAAACGGUGGGUACUAGGUGUGGGGUCCAUUCCACGGGUUCCGUGCCGUAGCUAACGCUUUAAGUACCCCGCCUGGGGAGUACGGCCGCAAGGCUAAAACUCAAAGGAAUUGACGGGGCCCCGCACAAGCGGCGGAGCAUGCGGAUUAAUUCGAUGCAACGCGUAGAACCUUACCUGGGUUUGACAUGGAUCGGGAGUGCUCAGAGAUGGGUGUGCCUCUUUUGGGGUCGGUUCACAGGUGGUGCAUGGCUGUCGUCAGCUCGUGUCGUGAGAUGUUGGGUUAAGUCCCGCAACGAGCGCAACCCUUGUUCACUGUUGCCAGCACGUUAUGGUGGGGACUCAGUGGAGACCGCCGGGGUCAACUCGGAGGAAGGUGGGGAUGACGUCAAGUCAUCAUGCCCCUUAUGUCCAGGGCUUCACGCAUGCUACAAUGGCUGGUACAGAGAGUGGCGAGCCUGUGAGGGUGAGCGAAUCCCGGAAAGCCGGUCUCAGUUCGGAUUGGGGUCUGCAACUCGACCUCAUGAAGUCGGAGUCGCUAGUAAUCGCAGAUCAGCAACGCUGCGGUGAAUACGUUCCCGGG